rnacentral:pre_miRNA from 1 species
UUAGCCACGCCCCGCGCGUCGUGACGUGGGAUUGAUUACGUCAUCGCGCAGUAACAGUCUUACGUCAUGGCUGCGCGGGGCGGAGCACC